UGGGGAAUCUUGGACAAUGGGCGCAAGCCUGAUCCAGCAAUGCCGCGUGGGUGAAGAAGGCCUUCGGGUUGUAAAGCCCUUUUGUUUGGGAGCAAAUCCUGCUUGCGAAUAGUGAGCGGGGAUGAGAGUACCAAAAGAAUAAGCACCGGCUAACUACGUGCCAGCAGCCGCGGUAAUACGUAGGGUGCGAGCGUUAAUCGGAAUUACUGGGCGUAAAGCGUGCGCAGGUGGCUAUGUAAGACCGACGUGAAAUCCCCGGGCUCAACCUGGGAAUUGCGUAGGUGACUGCAUGGCUAGAGUGUGGCAGAGGGGGGUGGAAUUCCACGUGUAGCAGUGAAAUGCGUAGAGAUGUGGAGGAACACCGAUGGCGAAGGCAGCCCCCUGGGCUAACACUGACACU
rnacentral:rRNA from 1 species